UACGGAGGAUCCAAGCGUUAUCCGGAUUUAUUGGGUUUAAAGGGUGCGUAGGCGGAAUUGUAAGUCAGUGGUGAAAGCCCUUCGCUUAACGAAGGAACUGCCAUUGAUACUGCAAAUCUUGAGUACAUUUGAUGUGGGCGGAAUGUGUCAUGUAGCGGUGAAAUGCUUAGAUAUGACACAGAACACCGAUUGCGAAGGCAGCUCACAAAAACUGUAAACUGACGCUGAGGCACGAAAGCGUGGGUAUCAAACAGG
rnacentral:rRNA from 1 species